rnacentral:lncRNA from 1 species
AUGGUGUUGGCUCUAUUGAGAAUGAGAAGGAGACUUAGAAGGCAUUUGGGAGUUCAAUUUGGAACGUGGUCAAAGUAUUUCACCUAUGAAACCUUGACUAUAAUGAGACUAUGCCCACCCUGUAUUUUUCACUUCGUUUUCAGACCAAGAUUGAUUUCAACCAGCUAUUUUUCAAAUUUUACCUUAAAACAGGCCUUUUUGGGAACACUGACAAUUGCAUUCCCUGUGGAAGUGAGAAAUGUCCCUGGAGUGUUUGCAAUGGAAAUUAAAGCAGAGUCAUAA